rnacentral:rRNA from 1 species
GACGAACGCUGGCGGCGUGCUUAACACAUGCAAGUCGAACGGAAAGGCACUGCUUUUGUGGGGUGCUCGAGUGGCGAACGGGUGAGUAACACGUGAGUAACCUGCCCUUGACUUUGGGAUAACUUCAGGAAACUGGGGCUAAUACCGGAUAGGAGCUCCUGCUGCAUGGAGGGGGGUGGAAAGUUUCUGCGGGUGGGGAUGGACUCGCGGCUUACCAGCUAGUUGGUGGGGUAGUGGUUUACCAAGGCUUUGACGGGUAGCCGGCAUGAGAGGGUGAACGGCAACAUGAGGCCUGAGAGAGGCAGCAGACUCCUACGAGGGGCAACAGGCGGGAGUCUUGCACAGUGGGCCCAAGCCUGAUGCAGCAACGCCGCGUGCGUGAUGCCGGUCUUCGGGUUGUAAACCGCUUUCGCCUGAGACGAAGCUUUAGUGACGGUAAUGAGUAAAGAAGCACCGGCUAACUACGUG